CCUACGGGAGACUGCAGUGGGGAAUAUUGCACAAUGGGGGAAACCCUGAUGCAGCGACGCCGCGUGAGUGAAGAAGUAAUUCUUGAUGUAAAGCUCUAUCAGCAGGGAAGAAAAUGACGGUACCUGAGUAAGAAGCCCCGGCUAACUACGUGCAAGCAGCCGCGGCACUACGUAGGGGGCAAGCGUUAUCCGGAUUUACUGGGUGUAAAGGGAGCGUAGACGGCAGGGCAAGUCUGGAGUGAAAGGCGGGGGCUCAACCCCGGGACUGCUCUGGAAACUGUACGGCUGGAGUGCAGGAGAGGUAAGUGGAAUUCCUAGUGUAGCGGUGAAAUGCGUAGAUAUUA
rnacentral:rRNA from 1 species